UUAAAAGGAGGUGUUAGUUGGUUAUUUUCUAUUGUCUGACUUUCUUGAUCCUUCAAAAUGUACUCAUUUUUGCAUAUUUUAUCUAACAGUACCAUAUUGGAUUUCGUUCGUCUCUUUCCUCCGCUGGGGAUUCGAAGGACUAAUGCAAGUUCAAUUCACAGAUCUGUCAUAUAGUUUGUCCCUAAACAAUUUUACCAUCACUGUUCCGGGAAAACUGGUGAGGCAAUAUUUCACAGUUUUAGCAACACUGUUUUUCUCAAUAUUACUUCUUUUACCAUAAAGUUAGUAGAAAAUAACAUUCCUAUUUUUUUGCCCCAUCAUGUAUUAUUAUUAUUAUUGCCAUUUAUAUAGCGCCAACAGAUUCCGUAGCACUUUACAAUAUUAUAAGAGGGGGGAUUUAACUAUAAAUAGGACAAUUACAAGAAAACUUACAGGAACGAUAAGUUGAAGAGGACCCUGCUCAAACGAGCUUACAGUCUAUAUAUGGCAAUAAAGAUGGUAGAGAACGAUCCACUAGAAUAGUGUGUUCCACAAUCACCAAUCACUGAUUUUAAAAUUGACUUCUUGACAAACUGAAUGACUAUAUAUUAUUUGUAAAUUUAACUAACUUAGGAAAUAUGAAUAAACCAGUCUCAUAGCUAUCGAUAUGAUGCAUAGUUUUUUUUAAUUAUCAGAAGUAAAUGCCCAAGUAAUAAAUGCAGCAGCCAUUUUAGAGCCCAGAGCAGGUCUGUGACUGGGGCACAAUAUAUCUUGUGGCACAACUGGGAUAUAUAUAUAUAUUUUAUGCCUAUGAGUUUCUUACCUCUGGCAUCUAGUUUUACAGCUGAUUGAUAUCGCGUUUUGCUUUAGGGCAGGUCAUUAAAUUUUUUAGGAGUUAAAACUGCAACAUACUUUAUACUUUCCUGGUUAAUGAUCAGAAUAUACGAUUGAUAUAAUAUUUCCUAGACCAGGGAUAGGCAUCCUUCGGCACUCCAGAUGUUGUGGACUACAUCCCCCAUAAUGUUCUAACACCCAUUAAGAUGGCAAAGCUUCAUGGGAGGUGUAGUCCAAAACAUCUGGAGUGCCGAAGGUUGCCUAUGCCUGUCGUAGACCAUAGUCCCCAACCCAUUCCUCAUGGACUACCAACAAUCUAGGAUUUAUGUAUAUCUUUUUUUAUUCAAACAGAGAUAAUGACAAAACCUUGGCUGUUGGUGGUCCACGAGGCUAGAUUGGGGACCACUGUCCUAGACUACCAAAUUACUUAAUAAGACAAGAACAAGCCCAUAAUAACCAUAAAUAUAAAAUUAUUAUUCUACCUCACUACUAGUUAUAAUAACAUACAUGAGAGAUUUUGGAACGUCUUUCAACCUUGUGGUUUCAAUGACUAAAUAUUAUAUCAACCUUUAUUUUCCCUUCAAUCAUGGGGAUUAAUACAAAUCUGUAUCUCUUGUGUACACAUGAUUUAGGCAAAACAUUAUAACUAAACUCCAUGCAUAACUUCUUUGCAGAUCAUCAAAAAUAUGGAGAUGGACUCGUAUCCACUAUACCUGUGCUACUUAGUGCUGAUUGGUAUAAUCGCUGGCUUUCUUGUACUCUAUUUCAUAAGCCUAAAGUUUAUUAAACAGAAAUCAAGCCAAGACUGGUAAACAUAAGAUUCAAUGGACAGCACUGGACUAAUUUGCAAAAGGUUAGAGUUGACAAGGAAUCCUUCUUGUCAGCUAUGAAGACCCCACCAUGCUAUGCUCUACAACAGUUGACCCAUGGCUAACCAGCUGAUGUUAGGCUACAACUGGCAGAGGAUUCUGGGGAAUAUUAUCCAGUCACCAGUGAAGUGCCACGUUGUAUAUAUCAAAGAUACUGUAACGGCACGUUUUAAUCUAUGGACACAUUUUUUUCAGAUUAUAUUGUCACAGUUUACUGCUGGUCUAGUGGUUAAAUAGUUGAUGUUAUUGUAAAUGCACUGAUGCAGUGAUGUAGCUAUGCUGAUUAUAUACUCUAUGUAAAGAGAAGAGAAAUAACUAUUGUUAAAGAAGUACUACAAAUUGCCAAGUGAUAAAUGUAUACUGAGUUCAAGAAGCCACUGGGUGGCAGUAAAAUCCUAAUAUUCUAUAAGUUGCAGGACAACAAUUUUAACAUAAACAUUCUUUUUUUCUUUUCAGAAAUGGCUUUUGUAUUUUUUUUUUCAAUGUCAUGCUUUAUUUAUAAAAUGUUAGAUUAUUUUUUAUAGAUAUUUGUG